rnacentral:rRNA from 1 species
UACGUAGGUGGCAAGCGUUGUCCGGAAUUAUUGGGCGUAAAGAGCUCGUAGGCGGUCUGUUACGUCUGCUGUGAAAACCUAGGGCUUAACCCUGGGCCUGCAGUGGAUACGGGCAGACUAGAGGUAGGUAGGGGAGAAUGGAAUUCCCGGUGUAGCGGUGAAAUGCGCAGAUAUCGGGAGGAACACCGGUGGCGAAGGCGGUUCUCUGGGCCUUACCUGACACUGAGGAGCGAAAGCGUGGGGAGCGAACAGG